CCUACGGGAGGCAGCAGUGAGGAAUAUUGGUCAAUGGGCGGGAGCCUGAACCAGCCAAGUCGCGUGAGGGAAGAAGGUACUGAGUAUUAUAAACCUCUUUUGCCAGGGGACAAAGGCGGCCACGGGUGGCCGUAAGAGGGUACCUGGAGAAAAAGCACCGGCUAACUCCGUGCCAGCAGCCGCGGUAAUACGGAGGGUGCGAGCGGUAAUCGGAAUUACUGGGCGUAAAGCGCUCGUAGGCGGUAUGUGAAGUCAAGGGAGAAAUACCCGCGCUCAACGUGGGAACUGCCUGUGAAACUGGCAAA
rnacentral:rRNA from 1 species